AGGCCUCCUCUCAUGUGCAAGAGGGCUCGGGCUAUAGUCCCCACGCUAGCCCAAUGCGGAUUGGGGACUUCACAUACACCUUUGAAUUUCUUCGCAGAUGUGUGCAGGUUUCCUCACGAUGUUUUCCUUCACCGAAAAGCUAGUGGUAAAUAUCAAAUGACAUUUCGUACAUAAGUUCCGAAAAACUCAUUGGUACGAGCCAGGAUUUGAACCCACGACCUCCGGAUUGAAAGUCGGACGUCAUAUUCACUCGGCCACCACCGCUUGUUUUGUGUUUACUAUAACAAUACGAGACUGUUUGUUUCUAAAUAAAUAAAUUAACUAUUCCAAAUUCAAAUCGAUAGCUUAAAUGGUUCUCGAAAUAUUUAGCGAUGUGACAGACAGACAGACGGACGGACGGACAGAGUCGCACUAUAAGGGUUCCUUUUGUACCUUUUUGGCACGGAACCCUAAAAAUGGCCGACUUUUAUGUUUCCAUAUAAAAUAAUUCAGCAAGCAACGUAUCACUUUAGUUUUAAUACAAAACGUCGCAUUUAAUGACACGACGUCACAACUGUCACAAUAAAUACAAUAAUAUAUUAAUAUAGGACCGAUUUAUAUGAAGAUUUAGAAAGAUACAAGAAACCUAUGUAAAUAAUGGUCAGUCAGUGGUUGUCCACCAAUGAUUCUAAUUAUACUCUAGAUUCAUUACAACUUUUCCUUAAUGAUAUUUUUGCAAUGACUUGACUGGUAUUUAAUAAUAUAAAUAAAUGAAUACAUUUUGAUAUUACGUCCAAUUUUAUAAAGUUACUACGGGUACUGCGGAUCAGAACUAUAAAGUAUAAAGUUAUGAAUAUGAGCAAUCGUCAACUCCGUCAGUUGACUUCAAGUAAUGAUUAUUUACAGUUUUAGAUGCCAGUUGACGUUCGUUCGUUGACUGAUGAUAUUUUUAUUUUUCAUGUUCUUAAAAGCCCCUUAUCCCGGCUAAUUUUAUGUACAUGUUUUUGAUUCAAAUCAGAUUACCCAUAUCUCGCUUUGUAAAAGAAAUUCUAAGCAGUGUUAUCGGUAAGGAGUAUCGAGUGACUCGGCGCACCGAACAAUAUCUAAGUCACUAAACUGCAGCAACUUGUACCGACUGACUCAUCUGAAGAUAAUUAAUUAUACGAUGAGGAAUAACAUGGUGCGAUGUGCUACGGUGUGGUUUAGUCAUAGACUGGACUGUCAUUUGCAAAUUUGCUGAAGUAGAACCAUUAUAAAUCUGGCCUCUGAUCUCUGAUUACCUAUAAUUUUGUUGCAUAAAAAGGCUAAUCUAUACUAUAGAUUGACCAACAAUAAUACGAUUUAGGAAAACUAUGCUUAUAGAGGUAUUUACACCGCUCAGUUUGAGUAUGAAAUGGGGUUUAAAUAAAAAGAGAAUGUGAAACUAUUAAAGACUUUUUAUAGGCGAAAUAAUAUUACGGUUUUAGAAGGACAUACCAUUUACCUUACUUAUUUAAAAUACCUAUUUUAAAAAGUUCAAGUGUUAGAUCGAUGGUAGCACAACUCGCGAGUACUUUUCAACGGUAGUGAAUAAUUUAAAAGCGCGCCUCGUGCAAGUGGUGAGCUGCAGUUAUGUAGUCGCCGGCAGCUGUCGGACGUGUCCUGGUGGGACAGGGGCGCGGGGCGCGGCGAGUGAGCGAGGCAAGUCAGGGCCGAGGCAGGAAGAAGGCAUCCCAGCCCGAGCACAAUGGCGGCGGCGCGCCGCAGGGGGAGCCCUCACAAUCGAUAUGGCGUCGCUAAGGUCCGUUGGCCGCUGCGAGCGGUUUGUGCUCUGCAGAGGCGGAUGCCCUCUCCCCGCGCGCGCUCGCCCACCACACCUGCUGUGUAUUUAUAGAGCCCGGGGAUGCAGGGAUGUCGGCUGCCACGGUCCUCUACUUAUCUGCGGCUACGUGCGCACAAGGCUGGUACAGUCAGCGUCAAAUACUUAGUAGCAGUCAAAGUGGCCAAAUAGUUCGGUACACCAUACUAAAUAUAUGGUGUACCGAACUAUUUGGCUACUUUGACUGCUACGAAGUAUUUGACGCUGACUGUACAUAGUUGGCGAAACAAUUACAUAUGCACGUACUCUUUUUAUAUUGAGAUGUCGUUUCUUGCGUUUAACACAGUUGUGUCACAUUUAAGUUAACGCUUGUCAAUAAUAUUAAUAAAUAGGUAUUUUUAUACAAUGAGUAUAAUUUUUUAUUUAUUCAAGAUGUAUAGGUAUUGAUCGUACCUAAUUAUGUUAAGUAAUUUAAAAUAUUCUUAUAAUAUCGUAUAUUUUGUUGGAAGGUUAACCAACAACAUUUAUUUAUUGUAUUGCGUCUCAUGAUUUGAAUAAAUGUUUUAAUUACCUGCA